CUACGGGUGGCUGCAGUGGGGAAUAUUGCACAAUGGGCGCAAGCCUGAUGCAGCAACGCCGCGUGAACGAUGAAGGUCUUCGGAUCGUAAAGUUCUUUUCUUAGGGAAGAAAAAUGACGGUACCUAAGGAAUAAGCACCGGCUAAAUACGUGCCAGCAGCCGCGGUAAUACGUAUGGUGCAAGCGUUAUCCGGAAUCACUGGGCGUAAAGGGAGCGUAGGCGGUUUUGCAAGUCAGAAGUGAAAGGCUACGGCUCAACCGUGGUAAGCUUUUGAAACUGCAAGACUAGAGUGCAGGAGAGGCAAGUGGAAUUCCUAGUGUAGAGGUGAAAUUCGUAGAUAUUAGGAGGAACACCAGUGGCGAAGGCGACUUGCUGGACUGUAACUGACGCUGAGGCUCGAAAGCGUGGGGAGCGAACAGGAUUAGAUACCCGUGUAGUC
rnacentral:rRNA from 1 species